AAAGGGGAGCAAUCCCUGAGUACAGUGGCGUACGGGUGAGUAACACGUGGAUGAUCUAUCUCUUAGUGGGGAAUAACCCUGGGAAACCGGGGAUAAUACCGCAUAAGCUCGAGAGAGGAAAGCAGCAAUGCGCUGAGAGAGGAGUCCGCGGCCGAUUAGCUAGUUGGCAGGGUAAAAGCCUACCAAGGCAGAGAUCGGUAGCCGGCCUGAGAGGGCACACGGCCACACUGGCACUGAAACACGGGCCAGACUCCUACGGGAGGCAGCAGUGGGGAAUCUUGCACAAUGGGGGCAACCCUGAUGCAGCGACGCCGCGUGAGCGAUGAAGCCCUUCGGGGUGUAAAGCUCUUUCGGCAGGGAAGAUUAUGACGGUACCUGCAGAAGCAGCUGCGGCUAACUACGUGCCAGCAGCCGCGGUAAUACGUAGGCAGCGAGCGUUGUUCGGAGUUACUGGGCGUAAAGGGUGUGUAGGCGGUUGUUUAAGUUUGGUGUGAAAUCUCCCGGCUCAACUGGGAGGGUGCGCCGAAUACUGAAUGACUUGGAGUGCGGGAGAGGAGAGUGGAAUUCCUGGUGUAGCGGUGAAAUGCGUAGAUAUCAGGAGGAACACCGGUGGUGUAGACGGCUCUCUGGACCGUAACUGACGCUGAGACACGAAAGCGUGGGUAGCAAACAGGAUUAGAUACCCUGGUAGUCCACGCCCUAAACGAUGCAUAUUUGGUGUGGGCAGUUCAUUCUGUCCGUGCCGGAGCUAACGCGUUAAAUAUGCCGCCUGGGGAGUACAGUCGCAAGGCUGAAACUC
rnacentral:rRNA from 1 species